UCUUAUGGAUGAACAAAAAAAAAAGUGGUCUCUUGAGAUAGAAUCUACUCCUGGUGAAGAUGCUGUGAA
rnacentral:pre_miRNA from 1 species